GACGUAGGGCGCGAGCGUUGUCCGGAUUUAUUGGGCGUAAAGAGCUCGUAGGCGGCUUGUCGCGUCGACUGUGAAAUCCCGCGGCUCAACUGCGGGUCUGCAGUCGAUACGGGCAGGCUAGAGUUCGGUAGGGGAGACUGGAAUUCCUGGUGUAGCGGUGAAAUGCGCAGAUAUCAGGAGGAACACCGAUGGCGAAAGGCAGGGUCUCUGGGCCGAUACUGACGCUGAGGAGCGAAAAGCGUGGGGGAGCGAACAGG
rnacentral:rRNA from 1 species